rnacentral:rRNA from 1 species
UACGGGGGGGGCAAGCGUUGUUCGGAAUUACUGGGCGUAAAGGGCGUGCAGGCGGUUGGGUGUGUCAGAUGUGAAAUCCCGAGGCUCAACCUCGGAACUGCGUCUGAAACUACUCGACUAGAGUACUGGAGAGGGUAACGGAAUUCACGGUGUAGCAGUGAAAUGCGUAGAUAUCGUGAGGAACACCAGAGGCGAAGGCGGUUACCUGGACAGUUACUGACGCUCAGGCACGAAAGCACGGGGAGCAAAAGGG